rnacentral:rRNA from 1 species
AACGUACGCUGGCGGCACGCCUAACACAUGCAAGUCGAACGAAGUAGCAAUACUUAGUGGCAGACGGGUGAGUAACAUGUGGGUAUCUGCCCUUUGGCCUGGAAUAACACGAGGAAACUUGUGCUAAUACCGGAUAAGUCUUUACGGAGAAAGCUUUAUGCACCAUUGGAUGAGCCCGCACUUGAUUAGUUUGUUGGUGGGGUAAUGGCCUACCAAGACUGUGAUCAAUAGCUGAUUUGAGAGGAUGAUCAGCCACAUUGGGACUGAGACACGGCCCAAACUCCUACGGGAGGCAGCAGUGGGGAAUCUUGCACAAUGGAGGAAACUCUGAUGCAGCGAUGCCGCGUGAGUGAAGAAGGCCCUUGGGUUGUAAAGCUCUUUCGUCGGGGAAGAAAAUGACUGUACCCGAAUAAGAAGGUCCGGCUAACUUCGUGCCAGCAGCCGCGGUAAUACGAAGGGACCUAGCGUAGUUCGGAAUUACUGGGCUUAAAGAGUUCGUAGGUGGUUGAAAAAGUUAGUGGUGAAAUCCCAGAGCUUAACUCUGGAACUGCCAUUAAAACUUUUCAGCUAGAGUAUGAUAGAGGAAAGCAGAAUUUCUAGUGUAGAGGUGAAAUUCGUAGAUAUUAGAAAGAAUACCAAUUGCGAAGGCAGCUUUCUGGAUCAUUACUGACACUGAGGAACGAAAGCAUGGGUAGCGAAGAGGAUUAGAUACCCUCGUAGUCCAUGCCGUAAACGAUGUGUGUUAGACGUUGGAAAUUUAUUUUCAGUGUCGCAGCGAAAGCGAUAAACACACCGCCUGGGGAGUACGACCGCAAGGUUAAAACUCAAAUGAAUUGACGGGGACCCGCACAAGUAGUGGAGCAUGUGGUUUAAUUCGAAGAUACGCGCAGAACCUUACCAACACUUGACAUGUUCGUCGCGACUCUAAGAGAUUAGAGUCUUCGGUUCGGCCGGACGAAACACAGGUGCUGCAUGGCUGUCGUCAGCUCGUGUCGUGAGAUGUUGGGUUAAGUCCCGCAACGAGCGCAACCCUCACUUUUAGUUGCCAUCAUUAAGUUGGGCACUCUGAAAGAACCGCCAGUGAUAAGCUGGAGGAAGGUGGGGAUGACGUCAAGUCCUCAUGGCCCUUACGUGUUGGGCUACACACGUGCUACAAUGGUAUCUACAACAGGAAGCAAGACUGCGAGGUCAAGCAAAUCCUUAAAAGAUACCUCAGUUCGGAUUGCACUCUGCAACUCGAGUGCAUGAAGCUGGAAUUACUAGUAAUCGUGGAUCAGCGUGCCACGGUGAAUGCGUUCCCGGGUCU